UAACCUCAUCACAUCAACUUAUUUGUUGAUGUCAUGGACUUGGAUGCUGCCGUGUUAUGACGGCUCAUCUGAAAUCUCUGAGUACAUCUUGAUUUGUGGUGUGUUCGGUGUGAUAAAUCUUCACCGAGUCGACCUUCUGGUCACAUCCACUUGACAUGGCUGUGCUUCCAACAGUCUCCCAUGUGAGACAGCUCCUGACA
rnacentral:misc_RNA from 1 species